GGUCUGUGAUGAAUAGUAAAAGGUCUGAUUGUCCCGAGACUUGCUCUUCUAUGGCCUCUUCUCCCAGCAGUUUCUCCCCAGUCAUGGCACAGCAAUGGUGUGACUGUGGGAGUGUUUGCUGACAGCAUGUGAUGUGUUCAGUUCAUGUUAACCUGAAGUUUUGGAGACAUGACUGUGAUCAGCAUCCCACAGACCUGCUCAAAGGAGUUGGGGUUUCGGCUUGUUAUACCUGGACGUGUGAUCUGACUUUUCUGCUGAGACC
ensembl:scaRNA